UGGGGAAUUUUGGACAAUGGGCGCAAGCCUGAUCCAGCCAUGCCGCGUGCGGGAAGAAGGCCUUCGGGUUGUAAACCGCUUUUGUCAGGGAAGAAACCCUUUGAGCUAAUACCUCGGGGGGAUGACGGUACCUGAAGAAUAAGCACCGGCUAACUACGUGCCGGCAGCCGCGGUAAUACGUAGGGUGCAAGCGUUAAUCGGAAUUACUGGGCGUAAAGCGUGCGCAGGCGGUUAUGCAAGACAGAUGUGAAAUCCCCGGGCUCAACCUGGGAACUGCAUUGGAGACUGCAAGGCUAGAAUCUGGCAGAGGGGGGCAGAAUUCCACGUGUAGCAGUGAAAUGCGUAGAUAUGCGGAGGAACACCGAUGGCGAAGGCAGCCUCCUGGGCCAGUACUGACGCUCAUGCACGAAAGCGUGGGGAGCAAACA
rnacentral:rRNA from 1 species